GGAUCAUUACUGAGUUAUUAAAAAACUCCCACCCUUUGUGAAUUUACUCUUGUUGCCUCGGCGUUGGGAAGCACCUACCCUGGAGGAGCUACCCUGGAGGAGACCUACCCUGGAGAAGAUUACCCCUCAGUUGAGAGGACCUACCCUGGAGAAGUUUUUUUCCACAGCACCUACCCUGGAGAUGCACUUUACACCACGCCGGUGGACUUUAUAACUCUGUUUUUUCCACUGAAUCUCUGAAAAAAUAACUAAAUCAGUUAAAACUUUCAACAACGGAUCUCUUGGUUCUGGCAUCGAUGAAGAACGCAGCGAAAUGCGAUAAGUAAUGUGAAUUGCAGAAUUCAGUGAAUCAUCGAAUCUUUGAACGCAUAUUGCGCCCAUUAGUAUUCUAGUGGGCAUGCCUAUUCGAGCGUCAUUUCAACCCUUAAGCCCUGUUGCUUAGUGUUGGGUAUCUACCCUGUAAAAGAGUAGUUCCCUAAAUGUAGUGGCGGUGUUUAGGGCACUGGUAGCGUAGUAAAUUUAUUUCUCGCCUCUAAAGUGCCCUAGAAGCCUGCCGUAAAAUUAUAAAUAUCUUAUAUUUAUAUAUAUCAAGGUUGACCUCGGAUUAGGUAGGAAUACCCGCUGAACUUAAGCAUAUCAAUAAGCGGAGGAAAAGAAACCAACAGGGAUUGCCCUAGUAACGGCGAGUGAAGCGGCAACAGCUCAAAUUUGAAAUCUGGCCCUCGUGGUCCGAGUUGUAAUUUGUAGAGGAUGCUUUUGGUGAGGUGCCUUCUGAGUUCCCUGGAACGGGACGCCAGAGAGGGUGAGAGCCCCGUACGGUUGGCCACCUAGCCUCUAUAUAGCUCCUUCGACGAGUCGAGUAGUUUGGGAAUGCUGCUCUAAAUGGGAGGUAAAUUUCUUCUAAAGCUAAAUACCGGCCAGAGACCGAUAGCGUACAAGUAGAGUGAUCGAAAGAUGAAAAGCACUUUGAAAAGAGGGUUAAAUAGCACGUGAAAUUGUUGAAAGGGAAGCGUUUACGACCAGACUUUUUCUAGGGAUUCACCCGGUACUCUGUUUACCGGUGCACUUCACCUAGAGGAGGCCAGCAUCGAUUUUUUUAGGGGGAGAAAAACCUUAGGAACGUAGCUCUUUAGGGAGUGUUAUAGCCUCUGGUAUAAUACCCUUAGGGGGAUCGAGGACCGCGC
rnacentral:misc_RNA from 1 species